ACCUGGCUGGCUCAGUUGGUAGAGCAUGUGACUUGUAAUCUCCGGGUUGUGAGUUUGAGCCCCGCAUUGGGUG
rnacentral:tRNA from 1 species